UACGUAGGAGGCAAGCGUUGUCCGGAAUUACUGGGUGUAAAGCGCGUGUAGGCGGCAGGCCAAGUCUGUGGUGAAAUCGCUCGGCUCAACUGGGCGGGGUCCAUGGAAACUGGUCAGCUGGAGGACGGUAGAGGUGAGUGGAAUUCCCGGUGUAGUGGUGAAAUGCGCAGAUAUCAGGAGGAACACCGAUGGCGAAGGCAGGUCACUGGGCCGCAACUGACGCUGAGGAGCGAAAGCAUGGGGAGCGAACAGG
rnacentral:rRNA from 1 species